UCCUAGUAUCACUACACAAGCA
rnacentral:miRNA from 1 species